AAAUUGUUUCCGGACCCGACUCCGACUCGCACGCUCGUCGUCGACUCGUCGUCUUCCCUUUCCGUCCCUCCCUCUCCCCAAGCUCCGUCGCAGUCCCGCAUCGCCUCCCUCGCUCCAGAUCAAAACCCUAACCCUAGGAGCACCUACGGCCUCGCCGUCGACUGGCGCGCGUCCCCGGCGACCCUGCUCGGGAUCUCCUCGGAGAGGGGAGGAAGGGGGAGGCGAUGGGCGGCGCGAUCUCCGGCGGCGCAGCGGCGACGGGGGAGUACCCGGUGGUUCUCAACGUGUACGACCUCACGCCGCUAAACAACUACGUCCACUGGUGCGGGCUCGGCAUCUUCCACUCCGCCGUCGAAGUCCAUGGAUCGGAGUACAGUUUUGGAGCUCAUGACCUUCCAACAAGUGGUGUUUUUGAGGUUGAACCAAAGAGCUGCCCAGGAUUCUUGUACAGAUCUUCAAUUUUCAUAGGCCGUACAAGUCUACAUCCCUUGGAAUUUCGAGAUUUCAUUCAGAGAAUGGCCUCGGAGUAUCAUGGGGAUACAUACCACCUCAUUUCUAAGAAUUGUAACCACUUCACAGAUGAUCUCAGCACCAGAUUGACAGGAAAGCCAAUUCCUGGUUGGGUUAACCGACUUGCUAAGCUAGGUGCAUUUUGCAACUGCCUUCUACCAGAAAGUAUGCGGUUGGACUCAACUGAGACAAAGAACCUCACGGACUACCAUUUCUCUGAUGAUUCCAACUUAACCAUCAAUGACAACUUUGACGAUGAUGACAUUGAAGACAAACACUUGCUUUCCGAAUCUUCUGUCAGUGAAAAUGCAAUUGUAAAGGAAGUCCACAGGUGAAAGUUGCUUAAGCCAUGCAGAAUAGUUCAGUGUGCAGUUUAUCAUUCAUUUUGUACAUUGUAAUUUCUGUAUUCCGAAAUGUAACAUGCCCAUUCUAUUGUAUUUAAGUAUUGUACAUACAUUCAAUGGCGGGUUUGGUGUCCUGGUUUCUUCUCAUUCCUUGUACAAUACAGUAAUACCAUACUGCCCUCCCUAACUAUACUGAGAUUCAGAGCCAGUGUGUAAUCUUAUUCCAUUUUCUUGCAAGUCAAGCAAGGAGGCAUGGUUCCUGAAAACUGCUAUGUUACUAUCAAUGUUCAGCGUGGUUCUUUUUUCCUCCUUUUCUGGGCCCUGAUGAAUCGGCAAUGGAUGUACGGUAACCGACUCUCCCGCGAGUUCACUACGGGUUUGAAAGAUUUCCUCAUAGUGGCUAAUGCGAACAAGCAGAAGGGUUUUGUUAUCUGUCCAUGUGUUGACUGUAAGAAUCAGAAGGGUUACUCUUCCUCAAGAGAAGUUCACCUGCACCUGCUUCGGCACGGUUUCAUGCCAAGCUAUAAUUGUUGGACCAAGCAUGGAGAAAGAGGGGUUAUAAUGGAAGAAGAUGAAGAAGGGGAUGAUUUCAUCGAUGAAAGCUAUCUUGCUCAUUUCGGUGAUACUUUCAUGGAGGAUGCUGAAGGUGAAGGGGAAGGUGAAGGUGAAGAAGAGGCACGUGAUGAGACCGUUGAUGAUCUUGGUCGGACCAUUGCUGAUGCACGGAGACGCUGCGAAACUGAAAAGGAGAGGGAGAAUUUGGAUCGCAUGUUAGAGGAUCACAGAAAGUCGUUGUACCCCGAAUGCGAUGAUGGUCUGGAAAAGCUGGGCUGCACACUGGAUUUGCUGAAAUGGAAGGCACAGGCAGGUGUAGCUGACUCGGCAUUUGAAAACUUGCUGAAAAUGUUGAAGAAUAUGUUUCCAAAGAAUAAUGAGUUGCCCGCCAGUACGUACGAAGCAAAAAAGGUUGUCUGCCCUCUAGGUUUAGAGGUUCUGAAGAUACAUGCAUGCAUCAACGACUGCAUCCUCUACCGCGGUGAAUACGAGAAUUUGAAUGAAUGCCCGGUAUGCAUUGCAUUGCGUUAUAAGAUCAGAGGCGAUGACCCUGGUGACGAUGUUGAGGGCGAGAAACCCAGGAAGAGGGUUCCCGCCAAGGUGAUGUGGUAUGCUCCUAUAAUACCACGGUUGAAACGUCUGUUCAGGAACAAAGAGCAUGCCAAGUUGUUGCGAUGGCACAAAGAGGACCGUAAGUCAGACGGGGAGUUGAGACACACCGCAGAUGGAACGCAAUGUAGAAAGAUCGACAGAGAGUUCAAAGAUUUUGCAGCUGACGCAAGGAACAUAAGAUUUGGUCUAAGUACAGAUGGCAUGAAUCCUUUUGGCGAGCAGAGCUCCAGCCAUAGCACCUGGCCCGUGACUCUAUGCAUCUACAACCUUCCUCCUUGGUUGUGCAUGAAGCGGAAGUUCAUUAUGAUGCCAGUGCUCAUCCAAGGUCCGAAGCAACCCGGCAACGACAUCGAUGUGUACCUAAGGCCAUUAGUUGAUGAACUUUUACAGCUGUGGGGCAGACCUGGUGUCCGUGUGUGGGAUGAGCACAAAAAAGAGGAAUUUAACCUACGAGCGUUGCUUUUCCUAACCAUCAACGAUUGGCCUGCUCUUAGUAACCUUUCGGGACUGUCAAAUAAGGGAUACAAUGCAUGCACGCACUGCUUACAUGAGACUGAAAGUGUACAUUUGCCAAAUUGUAAGAAGAACGUGUACCUUGGGCAUCGUCGAUUUCUUCCGAAAAUUCAUCUAGUAAGAAAGAAAGGAAAGCAUUACAACGGCAAGGCAGAUCACCGGCCGAAGCCUGCGGAACGCACUGGUGCUGAGGUAUUUGUUAUGGUCAAGGAUUUGAAAGUCAUCUUUGGAAAGGGUCCUGGCGGACAAUCAGUUCCGAAGGGAGCUGACGGGCACGCAGCCAUGUGGAAGAAGAAAUCUAUAUUC
rnacentral:rRNA from 1 species